rnacentral:tRNA from 2 species
GGUCCCGUAGCUCAACUGGAUAGAGCACCUCACUUCUAAUGAGGAUGUUGGGGGUUCGAGUCCUCCCGGGAUCGCCA